rnacentral:rRNA from 1 species
GACGAACGCUGGCGGCGUGCUUAACACAUGCCAGUCGAACGGAAAGGCCCUGCUUGCCGGGUACUCGAGUGGCGAACGGGUGAGUAACACGUGGGUGAUCUGCCCCGCACUUCGGGAUAAGCCUGGGAAACUGGGUCUAAUACCGGAUAGGAGCCAUUUUUAGUGUGAUGGUUGGAAAGUUUUUUCGGUGUAGGAUGAGCUCGCGGCCUAUCAGCUUGUUGGUGGGGUAAUGGCCUACCAAGGCGGCGACGGGUAGCCGGCCUGAGAGGGUGGACGGCCACAUUGGGACUGAGAUACGGCCCAGACUCCUACGGGAGGCAGCAGUGGGGAAUAUUGCACAAUGGGCGCAAGCCUGAUGCAGCGACGCCGCGUGGGGGAUGACGGCCUUCGGGUUGUAAACUCCUUUCGCUAGGGACGAAGCUUUUUGUGACGGUACCUAGAUAAGAAGCACCGGCUAACUACGUG